AGGGGGAGGGAAGCUGGUCUUUCAAACUGCUUGUAACCCAAGGAAGAAAAUCAUCAGCCUAUAUGCCUUUCACGGCAUUUGAUGACAAAAUGGUUUGUGGCUUAGCCAUUGUUUGAGGGCCAUUCCUCAAAUUCCUUGUUUACUGUCAGCAGGAGAGAAAGAAAAAAUGCUCAUUUUCAGCUGCAAGGAUGAGUAGAUCAGAAGUGAAAUCCAACCCCCAAAUACCUCCAGCUCCUGAAGGACUGGGAGCUAACAGGCUGGGAUGAUGCUGAAAGAAAACAAGAAAAUUGACAGUCCUAAGUGUGCUUAAACCAACUGCUGGCUGUGGAAGAAGAACAAGCAAAAAUUGUCAAUUUGUCCUUUGUUCAUUUGUUCAUUGAAGAACAAGUUUAUUUUUUUUUUAAGAAAAAAAAAAAAAAAGGAGAGAGAGAACGAGAAAGAUGUGCUUAUGCUAUGACUCACACUGCUGAAUUUCCCAGGUGAUCCAUUUCCUCCUGUUGUUUCCAUAAAUGCUGCCCUACCAGGUACUGCCACUGCCUGAAUUUCUCCUGGGUUUGCUGUUCAGGAGAGGGUUGGUUUGGUGCUCAGGCAGCGUGUUUUCUUUCUCUCUGUUGUUAAAAAUAAUAGCCUGGCUCCUACGACUAUUAUUUGAAUUAUAGCAGCACCUGGAGUCAUCAGCCAAGAUUGCAGCCCCCUUGAAGGAGGCAACAGCCAAAAAAAUAGCAAGGUGGCUCCCCGGCGAGCUCCCAGUCCC